rnacentral:tRNA from 1 species
GCCAGUGUGGCUCAGUGGUUGAGCAUCAGCCUUUGCACCGAAGGGUCGUGGGUUUGAUUCCCAGUCAAGGGCA